UGCCAGCAGCCGCGGUAAUACGAAGGGUGCAAGCGUUAAUCGGAAUUACUGGGCGUAAAGCGCGCGUAGGCGGUUUGUUAAGUGUGAUGUGAAAGCCCAGGGCUCAACCUUGGAACUGCAUCACAUACUGGCAAGCUAGAGUACGGUAGAGGGGGGUAGAAUUCAGAGUGUAGCGGUGAAAUCCGUAGAUAUUUGGAGGAACACCAGUGGCGAAGGCGGCUCACUGGCUCGAUACUGACGCUGAGGUGCGAAAGUGUGGGGAGCAAACAGGAUUAGAUA
rnacentral:rRNA from 1 species